rnacentral:lncRNA from 1 species
AUUUUUAGUUGAGGGACCAUUGCUCCAAUUUGAUUAAAGUUGAGGGACCAUUUGUACAAUUUACUCUAAAGUCAAACAUACGUGCGUACUAUUCCUUUCAUACUGCUAACAUAAAAUCUGCGUCCUCACUCGUAAAUAUGCACCACAUACUUCCAUAAUGUCUACUGUCGUGUAGUAGCACUCCCAGCACUAUAAAUUAACAAUGGUGAUCGUCCAAGGCUUAACAUUCACAUCCCUCUUGUCUUUCUUGUGGGAUUUUUGAGUAGUGUACGAGUUAGAGAAUGAUGAAAUAUUUCAAGUCUCUUAUUUUGCUAGGCCUUCUGCUUGGCUCCGUUGUUCUUGUAUCCUCUGCUGCUGAAGCUGAGACAUCCAAAGAUGAGAAAAAAGGUUAAUUAUUAUGAACUUAUGUAUGAUAGUUAAUAUUCGUUUAUAUUUUAAAUGGUUAAUCGCUCUGAUAAAUAUAUUUUUUUCAAUUCACUGUCUCCAUUUUAAACAAUUACACAUUUAUAUCAAUAUUGUUUACACGUUUACACAACGUACCUGUGCACCCCUUACAUUUGCACGACUGACUAAAACCACAUGUAUGCACCCAAUUAUUAGACUAUGUCCAAUCCUGACCUAAAACCUAAAAAUAUUUAGCCCAGAAAAUUUAGGUUUUAGCCCAGAAACAGCUUUUCUACUCCAACCCUUUUGGCCUAAAAUUUUAGCCCCAGAUUAUCAAAAAAUGAAUUAAGGUUAUUUUUUUAAAUUAACUUUUUAAAAAAAAAAAUUGUGUAGACUAUCCUAAAUUAAUUUUAUAAACAUUUUAACCUAAAAAUAUUUAAAUUCCGAUAAAUUUUGAAAAAUCACUAAAUCAAUACAUGAAAAUCAUGAUAAACCACAUAAACUUAAAAAAAAAAUUAUUCUAGCCGUUGGAAAAAAAUAUUUAAAUUCCGAUAAAUUUUAAGAUUAUUCUAGCCAUUGGAUUUAAACUUUGACCUUUAUAUCUUUUUUUUUACCGUUAGAUUUGAUUAUAUUCGAUUUAAGCCGUUGGAUUCAAUAAAUAUAUAAAUAUAAAAAAAAAUUGAAUGUGGACCGUUGGAUUAACCAACGGUCCAAUUACCACCACCACCCGAUGAAGAAAAGUAGCCAUUGGCUACAGGACAAGGUCCACUUUUCACUCUCAUUUGUGGGUCUCAACAGCUUUUGUGGGCUAAAUUUGUAACCUAUAUUUACCUUCAUUUUAAGUUUUAGGUUUUAGGUUUGGUUUAGGUUUUGGGUUGGAGUGGAUUUGGGGGGGAAGGGGAAAAUUUAGGUUAUAAGCCACCAUUGGAGAUGGUCUAAGGGCGAAAAAAGAAAAGGAAAUGUACACAAGAAUUUGAUUCUGUUUCUACUAUAAGUUCAUAACAGUGUCGUACAGUUCGUAAAUUACAUAUAUAGCUAGGGUUUUUUGUAUUCAUACUGCUCCAAUAUACUCGACAUAUACUUGCUAAGUCGACUAAGGCUAAGAGAUAUAUGUGUUUGUAUAUGGUGCAGUGGAUGAGCCAAAGGAAGUUAACCAAGGUGGCGGGGGAUACUGUGGCCGGUGUUGCUAUCGCUAUGGCCGCUACACUUGCGGCGGACAUUGUUGUUGGCCUGAAGUUGCUGAUCAGUCCGAAGUAUAGUAGUUACCGAUGACGCGGUAGAGGACAAUUUUGAAACAAAGCAGCCUGAUGGAUAUGGAGGCUGGGGAGGAGGCGGACGUGGUGGCGGAGGUUGGGGAGGAGGCGGACGUGGUGGCGGAGGCUGGGGAGGAGGCGGACGUGGCGGAGGUGGCAGCGGGGGAGGAGGUGGACGUGGUGGAGGUGGCAGUGGGGGAGGAGGUGGACGUGGCGGCGGUGGUGGCUGGGGAGGAGGAGGACGUGGCGGAGGUGGCGGCUGGGGAGGAGGGGGACACGGUGGCGGCGGAGGAAACUGAGGCCAUAUGCCUAAAAAUAUAGGCUCGAAGCUAGACCAACAACAUCACGAGAGUCUAUAUAAUUAAGCACAUGUACAUCGUUGUAGAAAAAUAUGAAUAAGCACCGUGCAUGCACGUAUAUGCAUGCAUGGGAUCAUGUCGUAUGUAAUGUUAUAUGCACAAGCAUGAAGGCAUGGCAUAAGUGUCAAAUAUCACUUGGAUAAAUUUGACUCUAGCUAGCUCCAAGGACUGAUGAUAGUCCAUGUAGCUCCUUUGUACUCGUGAACGGUAAUGUUAUAUGAAGCAUUAUACACAUAGCACUCUUUCUAGUGUUUUAUAUAUGGGAUACUUUGGAUGUGGUCCUUAAUCCUUAACAUUCUUUGACUAAAACUUUAAUGAUAUUCAAAGUUUGAUUAAAGUCCCUUGACUUUGUACACCUCAUUAUAUUACAAUUAAUAUUUAUAUUU